AUUCAUAUUUCGCUGAAUUUCCGUUCAAGGAAAACGGGGGAACCAUUGGGACGAAGCCGCUUCGUCAUGGGGUGAAUCAGCACAGCCUGCAACAGGCGCCGCUGUAGGGCGACUCUAACGCCCGAAUCCGUCAGCUAACCUCGUAAGCGUAUUUAGAGAAGGUGA
rnacentral:sRNA from 2 species